ACCAGCUUGUGUAACAGGGUGGGUGAGAAGAGAAUCUGCAGAUAGAGAGAGACUGAUCUGAUACAGACACGGACAAGAGCUUCCCCGAGAGAAGCAGGAGAGAGACUCUCAGCCAAAAGAUGGUGUGACUGAUAAUUAAUGCUUGCCGCUAUGUGGCCAAGAGGAUCAUUGCUUCCCGACGUGGAGGAGCAGAGGAGGAAGCUGGAGCAGCGGUUUGCGCCCUGAACUCAUCAUGUGCCCUUCGUGCAGGGUCUAAAAAGGAUGGCGCAACCAAACCUCCAGCCGCUAACCACUCUACCUCAGUGACCUCCAAACCUCCAAAACUGGCUCCUCCUCUUACCUCAGAAAUUCAACCACUUGACCCCGCGCCCAAGUAACCGCAUCGCUCUGCAUAUCAAAGGGCGGAAUGGGAGAAGCGAGGCUUAAAGGAAAAUGAGAGGAGGCAACGCAGCAAAGUAUGACCCCCUUCUCUGCAGCCUCUUCAUAUGAGAGGUUGGGAUGGGGUGAGAUGUCUGCUGGGUUGUAAAUAAAUAUUUAAAAAGAA